CGGUAAUUCCAGCUCCAAUAGCGUAUACUAAAGUUGUUGCAGUUAAAAAGCUCGUAGUUGGAUUUCUGCGGGGACGGAGCGGCCGGACGCAACUUGCGUCUCGAGCUAGCGCUUUCCCCGCAUCCUGCCGCGAACCGUGCUACCAUUAGUUUGGUGGCGCUGGGGAUCGGCUCGAUUACUUUGAGAAAAAUAGAGUGUUCAAAGCAGGCCACACGCCUUGAAUAAGUUAGCAUGGAAUAAUGACUAAGGACUUCGGUUCUACUUUGUUGGUGUUCGGGACUGAAGUAAUGAUUGAUAGGGACAGUUGGGGCGGUCUGUAUUCCAAAGCGAGAGGUGAAAUUCUUAGACCUUCGGAAGACAAACAGCUGCGAAAGCGUUCCGCAAGGAUGUUCCCUUUGAUCAAGAACGAAAGUUGGGGGAUCGAAGACGAUCAGAUACCGUCGUAGUCUCAACUAUAAACUAUACCAGCUAGGGAUCGGCCAACGUUUAAUUAUUCGACUUGGUCGGCACCUUAUGAGAAAUCAAAGCAUCUGGGUUCCGGGGGGAGUAUGGUCGCAAGGCUGAAACUUAAAGGAAUUGACGGAAGGGCACCACCAGCCGUGGAGCCUGUGGCUUAAUUUGACUCAACACGGGAAAACUUACCAGGUCCAGACAUAGAAAGGAUUGACAGAUUGAUAGCUCUUUCUUGAUUCUGUGGGUGGUGGUGCAUGGCCGUUUUUAGUUGGUGGAGUGAUUUGUCUGCUUAAUUGCGUUAACGAACGAGACCCCAGCCUGCUAAAUAGCGCGGCCGAGCUUUGCUCGGUGCGAGCUUCUUAGAGGGACCAUGAUGCGCGAUAGCACAAGGAAGUUUGGGGCAACAACAGGUCUGUGAUGCCCUUAGAUGUUCUGGUCCGCACACGGGCUACACUGGCGCCUGCAACGAGCAUAUCAGCUGGCCCGAGAGGGUCUUGGCUAAUCUUUUGAACCGGCGCCGUGCUUGGGAUUGACCUUUGCAAUUGUUGGUCAUGCAACGAGGAAUGCCUUGUAAACGCGAGUCAUCAGCUCGCAUUGAAUACGUCCCUGCCCUUUGUACACACCGCCCGUCGCUCCUACCGAUGAAUGUUCCGAUGAAAUUUUCGGAGAGCGCCAGAGAACGGGGCUCUGCCUUGCAGAUCUGGAGGCUCAAAGUCACUUAAAUCUGAACAUUUCGAGGAAGGAGAAGUCGUAACAAGGUAACC
rnacentral:rRNA from 1 species